rnacentral:rRNA from 1 species
CUUGGUCAUUUAGAGGAAGUAAAAGUCGUAACAAGGUUUCCGUAGGUGAACCUGCGGAAGGAUCAUUAUUGAUUGUGAAUCGUUGCCUUCAGUGCUGGCUCCGGCAAGUGCACGUUGGUGACUUUCAUCCAGUCCCCUUGUGAGCCUUUGGCCUCUUGCUGGCCUUGGCUGGCAGAGGAUUUUACACAAACUCGAAUGUAAUGAAACUAUUGUUGUGCGCAUGCACUAAUGUACAACUUUCAACAACGGAUCUCUUGGCUCUCGCAUCGAUGAAGAACGCAGCGAAAUGCGAUAAGUAAUGUGAAUUGCAGAAUUCAGUGAAUCAUCGAAUCUUUGAACGCACCUUGCACCCUUUGGUAUCCCCAAAGGGUAUGCUCGUUUGAGUGUCAUUGUACCUCACACUUCUGGUCUUUGGAUUGGGAGCGGUGGACUUGGGUGUUGCUGCUUUACCGCGGCUCGCCUUAAAUGCAUUAGUGCAUCUCCGGAUUGGACAUAGUACAGCGUGAUAGAUAUCUUCGCUGGCACCUUACUUCAAGGGUGGCUGAUCCAGAGCUCUGUGCUUUCAAACCGUCUUCGGACAAUGACUGACAACUUGGCCUCAAAUCGAGUAGGACUACCCGCUGAACUUAAGCAUAUCAAUAAGCGGAGGA